GAUGAACGCUGGCGGCGUGCUUAACACAUGCAAGUCGAGCGAACGGACGCGUUGCUUUCUUUUCUGUUGUUAGCGGCGGCCAAGUGAGUAAUAAGUGGAUAAUAUACCUAUAAGACCGGGAUAAUAACCGCAAACCGGAGUUAAUAACGGGUAAUAUUUUGAAUCGCAUGCAUCAUAAGUGUAAGAAGGUUUUGCUUUCCGUUAUAGAUGGAUCCGCGCGGCAUCAGCUAGUUGGUAAGGUAACGGCCUACCAAGGCAACGAAGCAUAGCCGACCUGAGAGGGUGGUCGGCCGCACUGUAACGGAGACACGGUCCAGACGCCUACGGGAGGCAGCAGUAGGGAGUCUUCCGCAAUGGGCGGAAGCCUGACGGAGCAACGCCGCGUGAGUGAUGAAGGUCUUCGGAUCGUAAGACUCUGUUAUUAGGGAAGAACAUAUGUGUAAGUAACUGUGCACAGCUUGACGGUACCUAAUCAGAAAGCCACGGCUAACUACGUG
rnacentral:rRNA from 1 species